GACGACGACGACGACCAAUCGAAUAACAUGGCGAAACGUGCCUUACAACUGAGGACUGAGAUACAUGAUUUGGAGAACACCACCAUUGAUUUAGCCUUUGGCACUGGAGUGGUUGCUAGCUCACUGGAUGAGGUUCUA